rnacentral:rRNA from 1 species
GUGCUUAACACAUGCAAGUCGAACGCGCAGCAUCGUGUAGCAAUACAUGGUGUGGGCGCGUGGCGAACGGGUGCGUAACACGUGGAUAACCUUCCUUCAGGUGGGGAAUAACCCCGCGAAAGCGGGGCUAAUACCGCAUAACAUCGCGAUGGCACAUGCCGUUGCGUUCAAAGGCGCAAGUCGCCAGAAGAGGGAUCCGCGGCCGAUUAGCUUGUUGGCGGGGUAACGGCCCACCAAGGCUUUGAUCGGUAGCCGGACUGAGAGGUUGGCCGGCCACACUGGAACUGAGACACGGUCCAG